rnacentral:rRNA from 1 species
UACGUAGGGUGCGAGCGUUAAUCGGAAUUACUGGGCGUAAAGCGUGCGCAGGCGGGCUUUUAAGCCAGAUGUGAAAUCCCUCGGCUUAACCGAGGAACUGCCUGUCAGACUGGAUUGCUUGAGUCCGGGAGAGGCGAGUGGAAUUCCCAGUGUAGCGGUGAAAUGCGUAGAUAUUGGGAGGAACACCAGUGGCGAAGGCGGCUCGCUGGACCGGAACUGACGCUGAGGCGCGAAAGCGUGGGGAGCGAACAGG